UAGGGAAUCUUCCGCAAUGGACGAAAGUCUGACGGAGCAACGCCGCGUGAGUGAAGAAGGCUUUCGGUUUGUAAAACUCUGUUGUUAGGGAAGAAAAAAUGUAUAGUAACUAUAUACAAAAGAGACGGUACCUAACCAGAAAGCCACGGCUAACUACGUGCCAGCAGCCGCGGUAAUACGUAGGUGGCAAGCGUUGUCCGGAAUUAUUGGGCGUAAAGCGCGCGCAGGUGGUUUAGAAAGUCUGAUGUGAAAGCCCACGGCUCAACCGUGGAGGGUCAUUGGAAACUAAUAAGCUUGAGUGCAGGAGAGAAAAGUGGAAUUCCUAGUGUAGCGGUGAAAUGCGUAGAGAUUAGGAGGAACACCGGUGGCGAAGGCGGCUUUUUGGCCUGCAACUGACGCUGAGGCGCGAAAGCGUGGGGAGCAAACAGG
rnacentral:rRNA from 1 species